AGAGUUUGAUCAUGGCUCAGAACGAACGCUGGCGGCGUGGAUAAGACAUGCAAGUCGAGCGCUGAUUACGAGGUAGCAAUAUUUCGUAGUCGGAGCGGCGCAAGGGUGCGUAACACGUGGGUAAUCUGCCAUGAAGUCUGGAAUAACUUGCUGAAAGGCGAGCUAAUACCGGAUGUGACGAUCGAGUGGCAUCACUUGAUCUUCAAAGCUGGGGACCGUAAGGCCUGGCGCUUCUUGAUGAGCCCGCGGCCUAUCAGCUAGUUGGUGAGGUAACGGCUCACCAAGGCUAAGACGGGUAGCUGGUCUGAGAGGACGACCAGCCACACUGGAACUGAGACACGGUCCAGACACCUACGGGUGGCAGCAGUCGAGAAUUUUUCACAAUGGGCGCAAGCCUGAUGGAGCGACGCCGCGUGGGGGAUGAAUGGCUUCGGCCCGUAAACCCCUGUCAUUUGCGAACAAAUUGGUUCAUUUAAUACCUGAACCAUUGAUAGUAGCGAAAGAGGAAGGGACGGCUAACUCUGUGCCAGCAGCCGCGGUAAUACAGAGGUCCCAAGCGUUGUUCGGAUUCACUGGGCGUAAAGGGUGCGUAGGUGGCAGGGUAAGUCGGAUGUGAAAUCUCCGAGCUCAACUCGGAAACUGCAUUGGAAACUACCCAGCUGGAGGGAUGGAGGGGGGACUGGAAUACUUGGUGUAGCAGUGAAAUGCGUAGAUAUCAAGUGGAACACCAGUGGCGAAGGCGAGUCCCUGGACAUCUCCUGACACUGAGGCACGAAAGCUAGGGGAGCAAACAGGAUUAGAUACCCUAGUAGUCC
rnacentral:rRNA from 1 species